UCGAUGCAUGUCUUUGCAGAAGAGUUCAAGAGUGACGUGAAUUGCGUGGGAUGGAAAACUGAUAGUAGCCACGAACAAGCCCGUAUUCGGCUAGUCGGCUGCGUGCGGCAUGCCUGGGUGCUCGAUAGGGUGCCUGGGUGUGUGCGGCAUGCGGUAUGAUAGUGCAUUUGCGGGUGAUGUGCGCUGAGGCAAGUGGUGGUGUCCGGCAAACCGUUUGGAGAGGACUUGCCUUCGGGCUUGAACCCUACGAGCGGGGAGUAAGAUUACUGCUGCACGUGAAUGAAACGGCUAGGUUCCAACGCUCUGCCGUGCUUCCGGGCUCGUCGCUAGGCAAGUAGCAUGAUACUAGGUGAUGUCGGCUGGUCUGGGUGGUGCGUUAGUGCCCUGGUCGACCCUUGAUGUAUGUUUGGAUCAUGAUCUCCGACCCGUCUUGAAACACGGACCAGGAGUCUAGCGUAUACCGAGUCAUUGGGUGGAAAACCCAUAGGCGCAAUGAAAGUGAAGGCUUCCUCGCGGAGCUGAUAUGCGAUCCGUUGCACUUCGGUGUACGCGGAGCAGCAUAGCCCCGUCUCGACUGCUUGCAGUGGGGCGGAGGUAGAGCGUAUUCGCUGGUACCCGAAAGUGUGCUACUCCCCCAAAAAAGGAGGAAAAA
rnacentral:rRNA from 1 species